rnacentral:rRNA from 1 species
GCCUAACACAUGCAAGUCGAGCGGCAGCAUGCUUAGUAGCAAUACUAAGUGAUGGCGAGCGGCGGACGGGUGAGGAACACGUAGGAACCUGCCCAAGAGAGGGGGACAACCAAUGGAAACGUUGGCUAAUACCGCAUAAUCUCUUAGGAGAAAAGUUGCCCGUAAGGGUAGCGCUUUUGGAGGGGCCUGCGUCCGAUUAGCUAGUUGGUGAGGUAAUGGCUCACCAAGGCUGUGAUCGGUAACUGGUCUGAGAGGACGACCAGUCACACGGGGACUGAGACACGGCCCAGACUCCUACGGGAGGCAGCAGUGGGGAAUCUUGGACAAUGGGGGCAACCCUGAUCCAGCGAUGCCGCGUGGGUGAAGAAGGCCUUCGGGUUGUAAAGCCCUUUAGGCUGGGACGAAGGAUGUGGGACGAAUAAUCCUGCAUUUUGACGGUACCAGCAGAAUAAGCACCGGCAAACUCUGUGCCAGCAGCCGCCGCAG